rnacentral:ncRNA from 1 species
UAAUUAUAUUUGGUUGUAAGGAAAUUUUACCUUAAAUACUUUAUGAUUUUCAUUAAUGUACAAUUUAUCAGAAGAUAAAAUUUAUUUAAUAAUAAAGUAUUAUUGAGAUUUAAGGUAAACUCUAGUAAAUUUUGUGCCAGCAACAGCGGUUAUACAAAAAGAGAUAUUUUUUAAUAAUAAUUUAAAUUUAUUUACAAGAAUUGUAAUUUUUGAAAAAAGGUGAAAUUUAUUCAUAUUUAUAUUUAAUAUUGAAAAUAAAAAUUCUAUUUUAAACUAGGAUUAGAUACCCUAUUAUUAAGAGUUUCAUAUUGUUAGUAUAUACUAAAUAUGAAAACAAAAAAUUAUGGCGGUAUUUUAAGCUUUUCAGAGGAAUUUGCUCUAUAAUGGAUAUUACGCCUAAAUCUUACUAAGGUUAGUUAAGCAGUUUGUAUACCACUAUUAAAGUAAUAAUUUAUAAUUAUUACUUCAAUUUAUAGUUUUUUUAAAAAAAUUUAAGUCAAGGUGCAGCAAAAAUUUUAGAAUGAAGUGAAUUACAUUUCUUUUUAGAAAAAUAAAAUGAAAAAUGUUUUAGGAUUUGAUAGUAAAAUUUUAAUAAAAUGAAAAUUUGAAUUAAGCUCUAAAAUAUGUACAUAUCGCCCGUCGCUCUUUUAUUGAAGAUAAGUCGUAACAAAGUUAAAGUACUGGAAAGUGCUUU